UUUUUUUUUUUUUUUUCUUAAUAAUUAUUUGUAUAUUUGAGUACAAGGUACUUAUAGUAUGUUAAAACUGUGAAGAUCAGCUCUGGGUUGGGAAAAGUUCUUUUUCCCCUUUUAAAUAACACAAUUUCCAGUUUAAGGCCGUUAGAUGGAAUUUUGAUGAGAAUUUUGUUGGUAUCCGAAGAAUAUUAAUGGGAAUUGAGUGUAGAGAGAGAAAAGGAGGGUGGGGGGAGGGGGGUGUUAUGAUAAGGCUGCCUUAAGUCUUCAUUCCUUGUAUCAGUUGAAUGGGCGUGGCUUAUUAAAUAAAGUGUGACACCUAGAAACAGAAGAGUUGUUUGGAAAAACUUAUCAUCUUGGCAUCUUUAUGUUUCUUGUCCAACUACUUGUUACAGUUUGUUCCUGCCUUUCGUAUGGUUGUGCAAUUGGCUGGAUCUUUAUUGCAUCUUUGUG
rnacentral:misc_RNA from 1 species